GGCAGCAUUCCCGAUUUAUCGGGAGAUGGCGACCGGCGCACGGGUGCGUAACGCGUAUGCAACCUACCCUUUACUGAGGGAUAGCCCGGAGAAAUUCGGAUUAAUACCUCAUGGUACUAUAAAGUAGCAUUACUUAAUGGUUAAAGAUUUAUUGGUAAAGGAUGGGCAUGCGUGACAUUAGCUAGUUGGUGAGGUAAUGGCUCACCAAGGCAUCGAUGUCUAGGGGUUCUGAGAGGAAGAUCCCCCACACUGGUACUGAGACACGGACCAGACUCCUACGGGAGGCAGCAGUGAGGAAUAUUGGUCAAUGGGCGAGAGCCUGAACCAGCCAUGCCGCGUGCAGGAAGACGGCCUUCUGGGUUGUAAACUGCUUUUAUACGGGAGCAAAAGGACCCUGCGGGGUACAUUGAGAGUAUCGUAUGAAUAAGCACCGGCUAACUCCGUGCCAGCAGCCGCGGUAAUACGGAGGGUGCAAGCGUUGUCCGGAUUUAUUGGGUUUAAAGGGUGCGUAGGCGGCGUAAUAAGUCAGUGGUGAAAGCCGGCAGCUCAACUGUCGAGGUGCCAUUGAAACUGUUAUGCUUGAGUACAGACGAGGUAGGCGGAAUUUACGAUGUAGCGGUGAAAUGCAUAGAUAUCAUAAAGAACACCUAUAGCGAAGGCAGCUUACUAGGCUGUAACUGACGCUGAGGCACGAAAGCGUGGGGAGCGAACAGGAUUAGAUACCCUGGUAGUCCACGCUGUAAACGAUGAUGACUCGAUGUUGGCGAUAUACCGUCAGCGUCCUAGCGAAAGCGUUAAGUC
rnacentral:rRNA from 1 species